rnacentral:rRNA from 1 species
AACGAACGUUGGCGGCGUGGAUUAGGCAUGCAAGUCGGGGGAAUCCCAGCAAUGGGGGAACCGGCGUAAGGGGCAGUAAGGCGUGGGUAUCUACCCUGGGGUUCGGGAUAGCCAUCAGAGAUGGUGGGUAAUACCGGAUGACCUGGUGACAGCAAAGAUUUAUCGCCCUGGGAGGGGCCCACGUGAUAUUAGCUAGUUGGUGAGGUAACGGCUCACCAAGGCGAAGAUGUCUAGCGGGUGUGAGAGCACGACCCGCGCCACUCGCACUGAGACACUGGCGAGACACCUACGGGUGGCUGCAGUCGAGGAUCUUCGGCAAUGGGCGCAAGCCUGACCGAGCGACGCCGCGUGCGCGAUGAAGGCCUUCGGGUUGUAAAGCGCUUUAGUGGGGGAGAAAAGCCGAAAGGUUUGAUCUAACCCAAAAAUAAGCACGGGCUAAGUUCGUGCCAGCCGCCGCCGUAACAC